AUCACGCUGGCGGCGUGCCUCAGACAUGCAAGUCGAACGCGAAAGCCCCUUCGGGGGCAAGUAGAGUGGCGCACGGGUGAGUAACACGUAGGUAAUCUACCUUCGGAUGGGGAAUAACAACCGGAAACGGUUGCUAAUACCGCAUAAUGCAGCGGCACCUAAUGGUGACAGUUGUUAAAGCGGGGGAUCGCAAGACCUCGCGUCUGAAGAGGAGCCUGCGGCGGAUUAGCUAGUUGGUAGGGUAACGGCCUACCAAGGCGACGAUCCGUAGCCGGCCUGAGAGGACGGCCAGCCACACUGGGACUGAGACACGGCCCAGACUCCUACGGGAGGCAGCAGUGGGGGAUCUUGCGCUAAUGCGCGAAAGCGUGACGCAGCGACGCCGCGUGGGGGAUGAAGGCCCUCGGGUUGUAAACCCCUUUCGGCAGGGACGAAGGGAAACUGACGGUACCUGCAGAAGAAGUCCCGGCUAACUACGUGCCAGCAGCCGCGGUAACACGUAGGGGACGAGCGUUGUCCGGAUUCAUUGGGCGUAAAGCGCGCGUAGGCGGCUCGGAAAGUCGGGCGUGAAAUGCCGGGGCUCAACCCCGGGACUGCGUCCGAUACUUCCGAGCUGGAGGUAGGUAGGGGAGAUCGGAAUUCCUGGUGUAGCGGUGAAAUGCGCAGAUAUCAGGAGGAACACCGGUGGCGAAGGCGGAUCUCUGGGCCUUACCUGACGCUGAGGCGCGAAAGCUAGGGGAGCAAACAGGAUUAGAUACCCUGGUAGUCCUAGCCGUAAACGUUGGGUGCUAGGUGUGGGCGGACAUCGACCCCGUCCGUGCCGAAGCUAACGCAUUAAGCACCCCGCCUGGGGAGUACGGCCGCAAGGCUAAAACUCAAAGGAAUUGACGGGGGCCCGCACAAGCGGCGGAGCAUGCGGCUUAAUUCGAUGCGACGCGAAGAACCUUACCUGGGCUUGACAUGCAGGGCAAAGCCGGUGAAAGCCGGCGCUCUACGGAGCCUGCACAGGUGGUGCAUGGCUGUCGUCAGCUCGUGCCGUGAGGUGUUGCCUUAAGUGGCGCAACGAGCGCAACCCUUGUCCUUAGUUGCCAGCGGGUAAAGCCGGGAACUCUAGGGAGACUGCCGGUGCCAAACCGGAGGAAGGUGGGGAUGACGUCAAGUCAUCAUGCCCCUUAUGUCCAGGGCUGCACGCAUGCUACAAUGCGCGGUACAAAGGGCUGCGAUCCCGUAAGGGGGAGCGAAUCCCAAAAAGCCGCGCUCAGUUCGGAUCGGGGUCUGCAACCCGACCCCGUGAAGUCGGAGUCGCUAGUAAUCGCAGAUCAGCAAUGCUGCGGUGAAUACAAUCCCGGGCGUGUACUCACCGCCCGUCAAGGGCGA
rnacentral:rRNA from 1 species